rnacentral:tRNA from 1 species
GCAGAUGUAGCGCAGCUGGUAGCGCGUCACCUUGCCAAGGUGAAGGCCGCGGGUUCGAACCCCGUCAUCUGCU